CCUGACCCCUUUAUCCUCUGUAAAAGAAAAGGUGUUAAACUCACUUAAUUUGCAGUGCUGUGCAAGUCUCUUUGCCCUGCCCCCUCCGCCUACUUGGCUGAGAUCAUCAGACGUAGGAAAGCAUUGGGAGGCUAUUGCGCAUGCAUGGAAAAAUGCCGCCCUGCACUAAUUAAAUCAAUGCAUCUCCAUGAGAAACGGUCAGCUGCAAAAGAUUCACCCACUUCCCACGCUAGUGAUAAGAUUCCCAUAUAGAGAC